rnacentral:rRNA from 1 species
CUAAUACAUGCAAGUCGAGCGAACUGAUUAGAAGCUUGCUUCUAUGACGUUAGCGGCGGACGGGUGAGUAACACGUGGGCAACCUGCCUGUAAGACUGGGAUAACUUCGGGAAACCGAAGCUAAUACCGGAUAGGAUCUUCUCCUUCAUGGGAGAUGAUUGAAAGAUGGUUUCGGCUAUCACUUACAGAUGGGCCCGCGGUGCAUUAGCUAGUUGGUGAGGUAACGGCUCACCAAGGCCACGAUGCAUAGCCGACCUGAGAGGGUGAUCGGCCACACUGGGACUGAGACACGGCCCAGACUCCUACGGGAGGCAGCAGUAGGGAAUCUUCCGCAAUGGACGAAAGUCUGACGGAGCAACGCCGCGUGAGUGAUGAAGGCUUUCGGGUCGUAAAACUCUGUUGUG